rnacentral:rRNA from 1 species
ACGGGAGGCAGCAGUGGGGAAUAUUGCACAAUGGGGGAAACCCUGAUGCAGCAACGCCGCGUGAAGGAAGAAGGCCCUUGGGUCGUAAACUUCUGUCCUUGGGGAAGACAAUGACGGUACCCUUGGAGGAAGCCCCGGCUAACUACGUGCCAGCAGCCGCGGUAAUACGUAGGGGGCAAGCGUUAUCCGGAAUUAUUGGGCGUAAAGAGUACGUAGGCGGUCUGCUAAGCGCAGGGUCUAAGGCCACGGCCUAACCGUGGUUCGCCCUGCGAACUGGCAGACUUGAGUGCAGGAGGGGAAAGCGGAAUUCCUAGUGUAGCGGUGAAAUGCGUAGAUAUUAGGAGGAAUACCAGUGGCGAAGGCGGCUUUCUGGACUGUAACUGACGUUGAGGCUCGAAAGCGUGGGGAGCAAACAGGAUUAGAUACCCUGGUA